GGAUAUACUAGGGAGCCAGUGGCUGUAUAUUAAUAAAGUGAAAGAGUACAAUUGGGAGUUGCUGAUUAUAUAGAGUGAAAAACAAGGUUGCCAAAACGUCCUGCAGCUAAGCCAAAUGCAGGAGCUAAACAUACAGAGACAGCAUCAUGAUUGGUCCUGAAUAUGGACGUUCGCGGGAUAGGCAGCAGGUCCUACUUGAUGAUACAUAUUCUCACUUUAGCAUUUUGCAUGAUGAAUUAGAGAAUUUGGAUGAGACUCAACUGCCCGAGUCCACAGAGCAAACUAGUGCUCAGUUAGAGCCUGCCCAAUCGGAGAUCAUGGCACUGCAUCAUCAUCUCCUGACGAACAAGUGACGGUAUGUAUUCUCAAAAUGGCUACAAAUAGAUACAGAGAUCGACGAUGUAGGCUUCAUAAAUACUGCAAUGAGCUACAGACGAAGGAGAUUGAUCCUGUGACCCAACCUUAUAGAAAUUAGGCUGGGUCUAGUGACGAUUGGCAGUGGUUAUGCGAGCAUUUUGGGAGUGAGACAUUUCAGCGACGAUCGGAGGCGAAUAAAAUGAAUAGGAGUAAGAUUGAUUCUAUUCACAUGCAAGGAAGUGCCUCUUUUGCACAGGGAAUGAAGAGAAUGGGACUAUCCGGGGUCAAUGCUUAUGCUAAAUUCGAUCAAAACAAGAGUGGAACAAAUGUUACAAUUAAGAGAGUAGGUGAUGAGGGAGGUUGGAUCUGACAACAAUACUGGAUCACAGCAGGUUUGUUCGAUGAUAGAUGAUGCGAUCCUGGAUGUCAUCCUCGGAUGGCAGCUAGGAUCUGGGCAUAGCAUGCGAUCAAAAAAAUUUCGCAGUUCGUCGUUCGAUCGAUCUGAUGAUGCAUCGGUGCCAGAGACAAUUAGGACAUCGAUGAGCAGGAUGCAAGAUCAGAUUACUUACUGGAUGAAUCGUAGUCAGACACUCGAGAAGAUAGUGGCUGCGAUGGCAGGACGGCUCGAUAUCGAUGCCUCCUAAUUAGCACCCUACGGUCACAUGAUGCCACCUCUGCACUGCCAUCGCGACACAUAUCGGACCAGAGAUCGACGUCUGGAGGAGGAAAUGAGGCCAACGACUCUGAUGAUACAUAGUUUGUAGUUUUUUUAAAAUUUAAAUGGUGUAUGAACGUGUAUUUUUAUAUAUGAUAACGAUGGCUAUGAAACUUAUUGCUAUUUAG